AGCAGCCGCGGUAAUUCCAGCUCCAAUAGCGUAUAUUAAAGUUGUUGCAGUUAAAAAGCUCGUAGUUGAAUUUCGGGACCAAUUUGUUGGUCGUGCCUCGGUACGUACUGGUAUUAUUGGUUUCUCCCUUCUGAAGAACCAUGAUGCCAUUAAUUUGGUGUCGUGGGGAAUCAGGACUGUUACUUUGAAAAAAAUUAGAGUGUUUAAAGCAGGCAUACGCUUGAAUACAUUAGCAUGGAAUAAUGAAAUAGGACGUUUGAUUCUAUUUUGUUGGUUUCUAGGAUCGACGUAAUGAUUAAUAGGGAUAGUUGGGGGCAUUAGUAUUCAAUUGUCAGAGGUGAAAUUCUUGGAUUUAUUGAAGACUAACUACUGCGAAAGCAUUUGCCAAGGAUGUUUUCAUUAAUCAAGAACGAAAGUUAGGGGAUCGAAGACGAUCAGAUACCGUCGUAGUCUUAACCAUAAACUAUGCCGACUAGGGAUCGGAUGAUGUUAAUUUUUUCAAUGACUCAUUCGGCGCCUU
rnacentral:misc_RNA from 1 species